rnacentral:rRNA from 1 species
CAGUCGCCGCGGUAAUACGAAGGGGGCUAGCGUUGUUCGGAUUUACUGGGCGUAAAGCGCACGUAGGCGGAUCGAUCAGUCAGGGGUGAAAUCCCAGAGCUCAACUCUGGAACUGCCUUUGAUACUGUCGAUCUGGAGUAUGGAAGAGGUGAGUGGAAUUCCGAGUGUAGAGGUGAAAUUCGUAGAUAUUCGGAGGAACACCAGUGGCGAAGGCGGCUCACUGGUCCAUUACUGACGCUGAGGUGCGAAAGCGUGGGGAGCAAACAGGAUUAGAUACCCCGGUAGUCCCUGUCUCUUAUAU